GGAGACGCUAGGUAAGAUUAGAGAAAUAAUUGAUCACAUCCCACUGCCAGCACCAGGGAUCACGCAGGACUGCAGGCUGCUCCUAAGGGGGAAAAACCAAACCAGAGCAAGAGGGACAUGACUUGACCAAGGUCAUCCAGACGUUCAGUGGCAGAGCCAGGAAUAGAAGCUGGGUUUCCUGACUCCCCAUCCAGUGAGCUCUCUUCAUUAAACCGUGUUGGGCAAAA